rnacentral:rRNA from 1 species
GACGAACGCUGGCGGCGUGCUUAACACAUGCAAGUCGAACGAAGAGCGAUGGAAGCUUGCUUCUAUCAAUCUUAGUGGCGAACGGGUGAGUAACGCGUAAUCAACCUGCCCUUCAGAGGGGGACAACAGUUGGAAACGACUGCUAAUACCGCAUACGAUCUAAUCUCGGCAUCGAGGAUAGAUGAAAGGUGGCCUCUACAUGUAAGCUAUCACUGAAGGAGGGGAUUGCGUCUGAUUAGCUAGUUGGAGGGGUAACGGCCCACCAAGGCGAUGAUCAGUAGCCGGUCUGAGAGGAUGAACGGCCACAUUGGGACUGAGACACGGCCCAGACUCCUACGGGAGGCAGCAGUGGGGAAUCUUCCGCAAUGGACGAAAGUCUGACGGAGCAACGCCGCGUGAGUGAUGACGGCCUUCGGGUUGUAAAGCUCUGUUAAUCGGGACGAAAGGCCUUCUUGCGAAUAGUGAGAAGGAUUGACGGUACCGGAAUAGAAAGCCACGGCUAACUGCGUG